UAUUGGAUAAUUCUGCUGGAUAAUUACUGAUACUACGGGAUAAUUCUGCUGCAUAAUUCAAUACAAAUUCUAGUACUGGAUAGUUCAACUACUGAAUAGUUCUACUACUGGAUAGUUCUGAUGGAUAAUUCAAUACAAAUUCUAGUACUGGAUAGUUCAACUACUGGAUAGUUCAAUACAAAUUCAACCAUUACAUACUUCAAAUUCAUCACAGUUCUCCUUCGACUUCUUCACCUUGUCCUUA
rnacentral:lncRNA from 1 species